CCCCCACCUAUGUGUGUAGGACCUUAAAGGAUCACCAUUAAAGUCGACACGUAUCUUUAGAAAAGUUAUCACAUGGGUGUGAAACUUGACUUUUUUAUAGAUCCGUGCCAAAUUUAAUGGUGAUCAUUUGGGGUCCUACACAUAUGGGUGGGGG
rnacentral:pre_miRNA from 1 species